AGCGAACGCUGGCGGCGUGCUUAACACAUGCAAGUCGAACGGUCCCGCGGUAGCAAUACUGCGGGGUAGUGGCGAACGGGUGAGUAACACGUGGGUCAUCUCCCCCCGAGUGAGGAAUAAGCCUGCGAAAGCGGGUCUAAUACCGCAUGAAGCUCCGGGACAUAAGUCUUCGGAGCCAAAGCCGUAAGGCGCUUGGGGAUGAGCCUGCGUCCUAUUAGCUAGUUGGUAGGGUAAUGGCCUACCAAGGCGAUGAUGGGUAGCCGGCCUGAGAGGGUGAACGGCCACACUGGGACUGAGACACGGCCCAGACUCCUACGGGAGGCUG
rnacentral:rRNA from 1 species